rfam:Gossypium raimondii Chr13_contig_105, whole genome shotgun sequence.
CUCAUGGAGAGUUCGAUCCUAGCUUAGGAUGAACGCUAGCAACAUGCUUAACACAUGCAAGUCGGGCGGGUGAGUAACGCGUAAGAACUUGCCCUUAGGAGGGAAAAACAGCUGGAAAUACCCCGUAGGCUGAGGAGCAAAAGGAGGAAUCCGUUCGAGGAGGGCCUUGCGUUUGAUUAGCUAGUUGGUGAGGCAAUAGCUUACCAAGGCGAUGAUCAGUAGUUGGUUCGAGAGGAUAAUUGACCAAACUGGGACUAAGACACGGCCCAGACUCUUAGGGGAGGCAGUAGUGGGGUAUUUUUCGCAAUGGGCGAAAGCUUGAUGGAGCAAUGUCGCGUGGAGGUAGAAGGCCCACAAGUCGUGAACUUCUUUUCUUGGAGAAGAAGCAAUGACGAUAUCUGGGGAAUAAGCAUCGGUUAACUCUGUGCCAGCAGUCGCAAGAUUAUUUUUCAUCUCAAUUUUGGAUUUAAUGGGAUUUUACACUAAUUUCUUUUCUUUUUAUUAAGAAGAGAAAACAUAAAAU